GAAAGAGUUCUGCAGGUGAUUCCUAUGGGUACAGGGGGAGAAAGAGUUCUGCAGGUGAUUCCUAUGGGUACAGGGGGGAGAAAGAGUUCUGCAGGUGAUUCCUAUGGGUACAGGGGGGAGAAAGAGUUCUGCAGGUGAUUCCUAUGGGUACAGGGGGGAGAAAGAGUUCUGCAGGUGAUUCCUAUGGGUACAGGGGGGAGAAAGAGUUCUGCAGGUGAUUCCUAUGGGUACAGGGGGGAGAAAGAGUUCUGCAGGUGAUUCCUAUGGGUACAGGGGGAGAAAGAGUUCUGCAGGUGAUUCCUAUGGGUACAGGGGGAGAAAGAGUUCUGCAGGUGAUUCCUAUGGGUACAGGGGGAGAAAGAGUUCUGCAGGUGAUUCCUAUGGGUACAGGG
ensembl:lncRNA